rnacentral:rRNA from 1 species
AUGGAGACAGCGAUGGAGACCCCGCCGCCGGCGGCAGAGACGAAGAAGGAGCCGACGCCGCCCGCGGCCGCGCAGCCUGCGCCAGAGACCAAGAAGGAGCCGACGCCGCCGGCUCCUGCGCCUGCUCCUGCUCCUUCUCCUCCUGCUGCGCCGGCGGCGGUGGUGGUGGCAGCAGCGAGAGGGGACGGGAAGCGGAAGAGGGGGCGGCCGAGGAAGUACGGGCCGGACGGGGGCCUGCUGCGGCCGCUGAACGCGACGCCGAUCUCGGCGUCGGUGCCGGACGACUCCGGCGGGGGGCACUACACGCCCGCGUCCGCCGUGGGGGCCGCCAUGAAGCGGGGCAGGGGGCGGCCCGUGGGGUUCAUCAGCCGCGCGGCGCCCGUGGUGGCGAUGCCGAUGCCGAUGCCGGUACCGGUGACGGCCGCCACGCCGACCCCCGCGGUGGUCGUCUCAACGCCACCACCCCCCGCGCCCAUGUCCUCAUCCGUCGCCGCCGCCGCCGCCGCCGCCCCGACGCCGCCCCUAGGUGACGUGGUAGGGUGUGCUUCCGGCGCAAAUUUUACACCUCAUAUCUUGAAUGUUGCUACCGGUGAGGAUAUUAAUAUGAAGGUUAUAUCUUUCUCCCAACAAGGUCCAAGGGCAAUUUGCAUUCUGUCUGCUAAUGGUGUGAUUUCGAAUGUUACGUUGCGUCAGCAUGAUUCUUUAGGUGGUACGGUGACUUACGAGGGCCGGUUUGAGCUGCUUUCCCUGUCCGGAUCUUUCACGCCAACCGAGAAGGGCGGAUCCAGAGACCGCUGCGGUGGGAUGAGCGUCUCUCUAGCAGCCGCCGAUGGCCGCGUCAUUGGAGGCGGCGUGGCUGGCCUCCUUGUGGCCGCAAGCCCGGUUCAGGUUGUGGUGGGAAGCUUCCUUCCGAGUUACCAGAUGGAGCAGAACGGCAAGAAGCCGGUGAUCGAGAUGAAGACGGUGGCGGCGCAGCCGGCCAUGGGGUUCACCAUCUCCAGCGGCGGCGACAUGGAGGACUCGUACAGCGGCAGCCAGGCGCGGGCCGGCAAGGGCGCGUCGGCGUUCAGGGUGGAGAACUGGACCGCGCAGCCGGUGGCGUCGGCGCCGCCCGCCGCCGAGGCGAGGAGGACGCCGUCGUCGGAGGCGGCCAAAGUCCCCGUCUCCGGAGGGUGA